GAUGUGACGGCGUGCCUUUUGCAUAAUGAUCCUACGAGUUACCGUCACUGGCGAGGUUGAGUGUCACGAGACACGUAGCCGCAGUGAAAGCGAGCCUGAAUAGGGCGCACAGUCAGUGGGGGUAGACGCGAAACCAAGUGAUCUACACUUGGCCAGGAUGAAGUCCCGGUAACACGGGAUGGAGGUCCGCACCAAUAAGCGUUGAAAAGCUUCUGGAUGAGCCGAGUGUAGGAGUGAAAGGCCAAUCAAACUUGGAGAUAGCUCGUACUCCCCGAAAGGCAUUUAGGUGCCGCGUCGGAUGGUCACCGUGAGAGGUAGAGCGACCGAUAGGACAAGAGGGCUUCACCGCCUAUCGAGUCCUGACGAACUCCGAAUGCUCACGGUCUGCAGUCCGGCAGUAAGGGGGCGGGUGCUAAGGUCCGUCCCCGAGAGGAGAAGAAUCCAGACCGCCGUCUAAGGUCCCGGAGUUCUGCCUGAGUUAGUCUAACGAAGUCUGGUCCCUAUGACAGCUAGGAUGUUGGCUUGGAAGCAGCCAUUCAUUCAAAGAGUGCGUAACAGCUCACUAGUCGAGGGUCCGGGCAUGGAUAAUAAUCGGGUAUAAGGCAGACACCGAAGGCGCGGGAUAGCAAUUAUAAAAGUAUCGGUAGGGGAGCAUACUCACAGCGUCGAAUGGUGUACGUAAGUUAUCCUGGAGCGGUGAGUAAAGCAAAUGUAGGAAUAAGUAACGAUAAGGAGGGUUAGAUUCCCUCCCGCUGUAAGACCAAGGUUUCCCGGGCAAUGCCAAUCAGCCCGGGGUCAGUCGGGUCCUAAGUCUAAGCCGAACGGCGAUGGCGAUGGCAGAGACGGUUAAUAUUCCGUCACUGCCGCAUGGGGCGACGUGGAGACGGAGCAGUGAAACCACCGCGGGGCGACGGAAGUCCCCGUUGAAGGGUGUAGGUGUUGAGGAUGGCAGGCAAAUCCACCAUCCGAGCUGAACCUGACAGUACGGAGUCCUCCUCGGAGGAAUCUGAUAGUGUGGGUAAUCAUACUCCCGAGAAAAUCCGCUAAGCUUAACCCAUGCGGCACCCGUACCGCAAACGGACACACGUGGUCGGGUAGAACAUACUAAGGCGUUGAGAGAUUCAUGGUUAAGGAACUAGGCAAAUUGACCCUGUAACUUCGGGAUAAAGGGUCCUCGUGAUGAGCGAGGCGCAGAGAAUAGGUCCAGGCAACUGUUUAACAAAAACACAGGGCUGUGCAAACUCGAAAGAUGAGGUAUACAGCCUGACACCUGCCCGGUGCCGGAAGGUUAAGAGGAGAUGUCACUCGCAAGAGGAAGCAUUGAAUUGAAGCCCCGGUAAACGGCGGCCGUAACUAUAACGGUCCUAAGGUAGCGAAAUUCCUUGUCGGGUAAGUUCCGACCUGCACGAAUGGUGUAAUGAUCUGGACACUGUCUCAACCGUGAGCUCAGUGAAAUUGUAGUAUCGGUGAAGAUGCCGAUUACCCGCGAUGGGACGAAAAGACCCCGUGAACCUUUACUACAGCUUAGCAUUGACCUUGGUCAUCCGAUGUGUAGGAUAGGCCGGAGGCUUCGAAGCGGGAGCGCCAGCUUUCGUGGAGCCAUCCUUGAAAUACGGCCCUUUGGCUGUCUGAGGUCUAACGCGUGAUACGCGGACACUGCUUGGUGGGUAGUUUGACUGGGGUGGUCGCCUCCAAAAGCGUAACGGAGGCUUCCA
rnacentral:rRNA from 1 species